AGAGUUUGAUCCUGGCUCAGAACGAACGCUGGCGGCGCGUUUUAAGCAUGCAAGUCGGACGGUAGCUGGAGCUUUUAGCUCUGGUGAGAGCGGCGAACGGGUGAGUAACACGUAGGUUAUCUGUCCCGGGGUGGGGGAUAGCCCAUGGAAACAUGGGGUAAUACCGCAUGAAGCCCUUCGGGGUUAAAGGAGCAAUUGUUCCGCCUGGGGAUGAGCCUGCGGUCCAUUAGCUAGUUGGUGAGGUAAGGGCUCACCAAGGCUAUGAUGGAUAGCCGGCCUGAGAGGGUGAACGGCCACACUGGGACUGAGACACGGCCCAGACUCCUACGGGAGGCAGCAGCUGAGAAUCUUCCGCAAUGGGCGCAAGCCUGACGGAGCGACGCCGCGUGGACGAAGAAGGCCGGAAGGUUGUAAAGUCCUUUUCUUGGUGAAGAAUAAGGCAAGGAGUGGACUGCCUUGCCGAUGACGUUAGCUAAGGAAUAAGCCCCGGCCAAUUACGUGCCAGCAGCCGCGGUAACACGUAUGGGGCAAGCGUUGUUCGGAAUUAUUGGGCGUAAAGGGCGCGUAGGCGGUUUAGCAAGCCUGGUGUGAAAGGUCUCGGCCUAACCGAGAUUAGGCGCUGGGAACUGCUUGACUAGAGUUUAGGAGGGGGAGCUGGAAUUCCUGGUGUAGGGGUGAAAUCUGUAGAGAUCAGGAAGAACACCGGUGGCGAAAGCGAGCUCCUGGCCAUAGACUGACGCUGAGGCGCGAAAGCGUGGGGAGCGAACAGGUUUAGAUACCCUGGGUAGUCCACGCUGUAAACGAUGUGCACUGGGUGUUGGUGCUUACGAAGGCAUCAGUGCCGUAGCUAACGCGGUAAGUGCACCGCCUGGGGAGUAUGCUCGCAAGGUGAAACUCAAAGGAAUUGACGGGGCCCGCACAAGCGUUGGAGCAUGUGGUUUAUUCGAUGAUACGCGAGGACCUUACCAGGGCUGACAUGUGCAUGACGGUCUACGAGAGUAGGCCUUUCUCUUCUGAGACGUGCACCCAGGUGCUGCAUGAUUGUCGUCCGCUCGUGUCGUGAGAAUGUGGGUAAGUCCGCACGAGCGCAACCCCUACUGUCUGUUGCCAGCAUGGUUGGGGACUCAGACGAACUGCGGGCCAACCGAGAAGUGGAUUAACUUCAAUACUCAUGCCCUAAGUCUUGGCUACACACUGUCCAUGUCGUACCGCGC
rnacentral:rRNA from 1 species